rnacentral:misc_RNA from 1 species
AACGCACAUUGCGCCUUUUGGUAUUCCGAAAGGCAUACCUGUUCGAGCGUCAUUUAAACUCUCAAGCUAUGCUUGGUAAUGGGAGAUGUUACUUCAAUGACAUUCCCGUAACUUGUUUGAGCGUGACCUUGUGGCUUCAAGCGUAGCAAGAUUUCAUCACUCGCUUAGCUGUCCAUUUGGCCACCGCCAGAUAACUUAUGAAACUUCAAGUUUGACCUCGGAUCAGGUAGGGAUACCCGCUGAACUUAA